AUGAAAUGGAGCUUGCUCCAUGGAUUAGUGGCGAACGGGUGGCUAACACGUGAAUAACCUGCCCUUAAUUUUGGAAUAACCCAGGGAAACCUGGGCUAAUACCGGAUAAGUAAACCUGUGGCAUCACAUGGUUUUGGAAAGUUUUUCGAUUAAGGAUGGAUUCGCGGCCUAUCAGCUUGUUGGUGAGGUAAUGGCUCACCAAGGCGACGACGGGUAGCCGGCCUGAGAGGGUGAACGGCCACACUGGGACUGAGACACGGCCCAGACUCCUACGGGAGGCAGCAGUGGGGAAUAUUGCGCAAUGGACGAAAGUCUGACGCAGCGACGCCUCGUGAGGGACGAAGGUCUUCGGAUUGUAAACCUCUUUCAGCAGGGACGAAGCGAAAGUGACGGUACCUGCAGAAGAAGCACCGGCUAACUAUGUGCCAGCAGCCGCGGUAAUACAUAGGGUGCAAGCGUUGUCCGGAUUUAUUGGGCGUAAAGAGUUCGUAGGCGGUUUCUCGCGUCGGAUGUGAAAACUCAGGGCUCAACCCUGAGCCUGCAUUCGAUACGGGGAAACUUGAGGACGGCAGGGGAGACUGGAACUCCUGGUGUAGCGGUGGAAUGCGCAGAUAUCAGGAAGAACACCAAUGGCGAAGGCAGGUCUCUGGGCCGAUUUCUGACGCUGAGGAACGAAAAGCGUG
rnacentral:rRNA from 1 species